rnacentral:rRNA from 1 species
CCCUUAGAUGUUCUGGGCCACACGCGCGCUACAAUGAUGAAUUCAACGAGUUUAUAACCUUGGUUGAAAAGCCUGGGUAAUCUUUUGAACUUUCGUCGUGAUGGGGCUAGACCCUUGCAAUUAUUGGUCUCCAACGAGGAAUUCCUAGUAAACGCAAGUCAUCAGCUUGCAUUGAUUACGUCCCUGCCCUUUGUACACAUUGCCCGUCGCACCUACCGAUUGAAUGGUCCGGUGAAAUCUUCGGAUUGAGACUUUGUUUUCUUCACGGAAAACGCUGUUUUAAAAAGUUGAUUAAACCUUACCAUUUAGAGGAAGGUGAAGUCGUAACA